GUGGGGAAUCUUCCGCAAUGGACGAAAGUCUGACGGAGCAACGCCGCGUGAGUGAAGAAGGUUUUCGGAUCGUAAAGCUCUUUCGUUAGGGACGAACGUGCUCUUUGUGAAUAAUGAGGAGUAAUGACGGUACCUAAAUAAGAAGCCACGGCUAACUACGUGCCAGCAGCCGCGGUAAUACGUAGGUGGCAAGCGUUGUCCGGAAUUAUUGGGCGUAAAGCGCGCGCAGGCGGGAUAUCAAGUCUGUCUUAAAAGUGCGAGGCUCAACCUCGUGAGGGGACAGAAACUGGUAUUCUUGAGUGUCGGAGAGGAAAGUGGAAUUCCAAGUGUAGCGGUGAAAUGCGUAGAGAUUUGGAAGAACACCAGUGGCGAAGGCGACUUACUGGACUGUAACUGACGCUGAGGCGCGAAAGUGUGGGGAGCAAACAGGAUUAGAAACCCCUGUAGUCC
rnacentral:rRNA from 1 species